CCCUUUCCCUUUCCCCGUUCCUAAGUUAGAGCGCGGCCCGCCCCGCGCUGCGCUCCGAGGGCAGCAUCCCCUCCGAGGGCUCCAUCCUCCCUCCGUGCGGAGCAACGGGGCCGGCAGCCAUCGGGUAGCCGGGAUGGGGCAGGACAGAGAAACGGCUUUUAUGUUCUUUCUGAAUUAAAAGUGCGGCAGGAAGAAAAAGAAAAGAAAAAUGUCCAGAGGCCAAAUCCGUAAAAGCCAGGUUAUCUCUGGGAAAGAGGAGGGGGAGCUGCUAAAAGCACCGUUCGCUCUCUGGGGUGUUGGCAGCGACAAAGCAGGGCGGAGGAGAGAGAUGUGUUCUCGAUAAAGUGCCUUAAGUAACACUUUCCUUCGGCGUUUGUCCUCUCAUCGAACUCAGCAGAGCUCCCGGAGUCACUUCGCUCCCACCUAAAAGUGCACUCACACUUUCGGAAAGGCCGCCGGUUCUGUGAUUGCACCAUGAGGGAAUUCAUUCAGCAUCUCUCUGCCUGUGAGAUGUCAGGAUUCCAUGAUACCAAAAUGGAAUGGGUGCCAAAACCCAUUUGCCCUCAUGAAUCAGGAUCAUAGUCUAUGUUACAAGGUCAAAAGGAGAGCAUCUUCUUACACACUACAAGUCCUAGUGCUGCUAGCAGAGCAGGGUGACACAGGGAGGGUAAGGAGAAUGUGACUGACAACAAGGCAGAAGACAAUGCAACCCUCUCAUCUGGGAAUAAUGCCCCCAGAAAAGUGCUGUGAUUGUUAUGGAAAUUUUUGAUGUUUUUUGGCCUCUUUACAAGAAGGCGGAUUGCGUAUAUACACACAAAACAAUAAAGCAAUCAGCAAAAAUGAAACUGAUAGGUUGCAUAGGAGGAUGUGUGGCUGAUAUAUCUAUUAUAGAGCAUGAUAUUCCACUUAUUGUACAUUUAUUGUCCCAAAUUUCCAAGUAAAACCAGAAACAGAACACUCUUCUUACAAUUAAAUUAGAUAAGCCUUGAUAGAAGUCUCAUGCACAAGAGCAAUUAUCAGUUUUAUGAGUUUAUCUUUGCAUUCAUCCUGGUCUCAGAGACUCCUGAACACACAUACCUUUCAGCAGACAGACAAUCAUAAUAUGAUCCGAUUCAGACUACAAGGUUAUCUGAAACUGAUUCAUUUCCUGUUCCAGGCUAAUACCAACAGAGGGACAGCAAAUCGUUUGCUCUGUACCAGCCCAAGCUUUUAACACUCUCAGGGAUCUGAGGUUUCACACACACUCACCAUUAAGUCUAUUAACCUAAUCAGCAGCUUUAACUGCAUCUGCAGAUAAAGCAAAGAAAUUUAUAAAUUAAUUAAUGUUGGAAAAUAAAUUUAUUCAUCAAUAUAAGAUUCUUGAUUAAAUUCGGCAAUAAAGUGUUCCUAAUAAAAUUAAUCAAAUCCUACAU
ensembl:lncRNA